rnacentral:rRNA from 1 species
UGGGGAAUACUGCACAAUGGGCGGAAGCCUGAUGCAGCAACGCCGCGUGCGGGAUGACGGCCUUCGGGUUGUAAACCGCUUUCGCCUGUGACGAAGCGUGAGUGACGGUAAUGGGUAAAGAAGCACCGGCUAACUACGUGCCAGCAGCCGCGGUGAUACGUAGGGUGCGAGCGUUGUCCGGAUUUAUUGGGCGUAAAGGGCUCGUAGGUGGUUGAUCGCGUCGGAAGUGUAAUCUUGGGGCUUAACCCUGAGCGUGCUUUCGAUACGGGUUGACUUGAGGAAGGUAGGGGAGAAUGGAAUUCCUGGUGGAGCGGUGGAAUGCGCAGAUAUCAGGAGGAACACCAGUGGCGAAGGCGGUUCUCUGGGCCUUUCCUGACGCUGAGGAGCGAAAGCGUGGGGAGCGAACAGGCUUAGAUACCCUGGUAGUCCACGCUGUAAACGGUGGGUACUAGGUGUGGGGUCCAUUCCACGGGUUCCGCGCCGUAGCUAACGCUUUAAGUACCCCGCCUGGGGAGUACGGCCGCAAGGCAAAACUUAAAUGAAUUGACGGGGUCAUAGCUGUUUCCU